UGGCUCUUCUGUCGGCAACCAUUGGACACUAACGUUUCCCACCGCCAAUGCACACAAACACACGUUGCACUUAGCGAAGAAUCGACCGCUGAAUAUUCCGCGUGUUUAACGCCGUUAUCAUACUCACAUUGUUUGAAGAAACGUGGAAUAUUUACUUCAUGUGCCACUUAAAUAAGCAGCAGUGGUAUGACUAGACUGAAGGUAUAAGUUACCUUAACCGGAGGUUGCUGUGAAGAAAACGAAGUUAAAUUUAUCCGACGGAUAACUUUAUCUGGAGGACAGGUUUCGGGAG